UAGCUCGCAUCCUGCAAGUUUCCAUAGGUAUAGUUCUUCAGAAUAUAUUGAAGAUACUGGAUUUAUUUUGGAGUCAAGUCAGUGAGACAGAGUGAAAGCUUCACCUUAGCGCAUCUUCACGAUUUUUGGCAUCCAUUUCUUUGUUUGGAGGAUACUUGGGCAAUGUCGAUGGAUCGCAAGCGUAUGGCUUCGUUUUGAAAUACUGGGGCAAGAGGUUACCUCAGACAUGAGAGCAGACGAGGCGGUACCCCGCUUAGGAGGGUCGAUGGCGAGAAGAGUUUCCAAUAGGCUCACUGCGGAUGGUGCAAAAUCUUUGCACUUUUCGUUAAGGGAACUUUCAUAUGGAUGUUGGGGUCUAAACAUAGCUGCAUGAGGCAGCUUUGUUUUUUUCCAGAACUCUUCAGGUGGGGAGCCGCAAAGUUUGAAUAUUUUGUGCAAUUGUUCAACCUGUUUUGUAGUAGAGUUCCAUUCAUGUCAGAUCAACAAACACUGAGCAACAACCAAAAGGACCAAGCCAUCCAUUACCUCUGUUCUUCCUUUAAGAAGGGGUUUCCCCAGGUGCAAUUCUGCAAAUACACAUCCUAUGCUCCAAAGGUCCACCGUUAAUCCAUAAUCUGUCGAACCCAUCAGAAGCUCGGGAGGUCGAUACCAUAAUGUCACCACUCGACUUGUUAGUGAUUGCUUGUUUCUAGAGCUAAUGAUAUUUGCCAAUCCAAAAUCUGCCAACUUUAGAAUUCCUUCAUUGUUUACCAAAAUAUUGGAUGCUUUGAUGUCCCUAUGCAUUAUACCCCGAAGGUGGCAAUGCUCAAUUGCAGAUAGAAGCUGUCUCAUGUAACACUUUACCUGAAAAAAGAAAGCCCCAAGGGAAGAUGAAAUGGGAACGUUAUUUCUUUUCUUAUUAGAGCAAAUGCUAUUGCUAGUGCAAGUAAAUCAGUAGACCAAAUACCAACCUGUGCCUCACUGAACUCGAUAUCAGGACAAGACACUAGCCCUGCAAGAUCAUGUUCCAUGUAUUCGAAUACAAGGUAAAUGCUGCUAGACAUUUUGGAAGUAAUCAGGCCUUCUAAUUGCAUGAUGUUUGGGUGAUCAAGCCUGCGCAAAAUCAUAAUUUCUCGUGCCAUGAACCUAAUGCUCUCAGGUUGAAAAUUGUCGAAACGAACCUUCUUCAACGCAACCAUCCUUCCUGUCUCAACUUCUCGAGCUCGGAACACGCUGCUGUAUGUACCUUGUCCAAUCUAAUUAAAAAACAAACUCUUGAUCUUUUCUGGGUACUUUGGAGUGAAUGCAAAGAACAUGUAGAACAUGCAAGAAGAUGCAUUAAACAGAUCAUUGCAUCGUGGUCGGUUAAACCGAGACCUCCGGAACAUAGGAAGAACAGAAUCGUAAAUGAUGAUGGAUCAUUUUGGUGUCCGCAUCAAUGGUAGGACUUUUGAGGCAAAAUUAUAAAUGA